rnacentral:tRNA from 1 species
GCAGGGAUGGCCGAGAGGUUAAGGCGUUGGAUUUAGGUCUUCAUCAGAUAAUAACUAGUUAUUUUCGCAGUAGAUUCUCCAAUUUCGAAAGAAGCAUGGGUUCGAACCCCAUUUCCUGCA